AAGUGAGAACCUUAUAUGAGGAAUUAAUCUCAGCCACCAAGUUGAUCUGAACGGCCAGAGACAAAGAAACAAGCUUACAAUAGAAACGGGUACGCUACACUUCCCCUUUUGUCCACGUGUCUUGGCGCGCCUUUUCCAAUCCCGCCUUUCUUCAUUCCAAUCGCGCCUUUCUUCUUCUUAAUUCAUUUUUUUCAGACUCUCUCUUUUUACUCCCAAACAGAUUCUCCUCUUAAUACCAUCCCAUAUUUUCUUUAGUUAGAAUCGAUAUCUUUCUCUUGAACUCUCGAACUCUCUAUUAUGCCCUAUCUGUUUCCCUCCUCUCCAACUCCAUCUCUGUCUUGGUAUCUCUUUCAUUUUUAUACAGUCCUUAUACAAAUAAAACCUCAUUUCUCUCUUACUUCCCUUUCUUCUUCUCUCUCUACCCAACAAAUUUCUAGGUCUGAAACGGGUGGAUGAUGGGUUUAUAGUUUAAGGCUUGGUGUUUGCUUCUAAAUGACAAAGUUAUAUUUAGGAUGCAAUGGCCAUAAUAUGCAGAUCUUUAGGUCAAUGGUAUGGUAAUUCUGAUUAUUUGACAUCUAUUCAAUAUGUUGGCUUUCUCGGUUCUAGUUUUGUUUGCUAAAAUA